rnacentral:rRNA from 1 species
GCCUAACACAUGCAAGUCGAACGAAGAUUGUAGUAAUACGGUCUUAGUGGCGAACGGGUGAGUAACGCGUGGGUGACCUGCCCCGAAGUGUGGGAUACCAGUCCGAAAGGACUGCUAAUACUGCAUAACAUCCAGGAGAUUAGAACCUGCUGGAUUAAAGGAUUUUUUCGCUUCGGAGGGGCCUGCGUCCCAUCAGCUAGUUGGUAAGGUAAUGGCUUACCAAGGCGAUGACGGGUAGGGGACCUGAGAGGGUGACCCCCCACAAUGAACUGAAACACGGUCCAUACACCUACGGGUGGCAGCAGUAGGAAUAUUAGUAAUGGGCGAAAGCCUGAACUAGCAACGCCGCGUGUGCGAAGAAGGCCUUCGGGUUGUAAAGCACUUUUUAGAGGACGAGAAGGACGGUACUCUCAGAAUAAGUCUCGGCWACUCGUGCCAGCAGCCGCGGUAWCAAGGGGRANUUGUUUAACCUCAG